rnacentral:rRNA from 1 species
UGGCUCAGAUUGAACGCUGGCGGCGUGCUUAACACAUGCAAGUCGCGCGUGAAAGGACUUCGGUCCGAGUAAAGCGGCGCACGGGUGAGUAACGCGUGGAUGAUCUACCCAUGAGUUAGGAAUAACGGCUGGAAACGGUCGCUAAUACCAAAUACGCUCCGAUUUCAACUUCGGGGGAAAGGUGGCCUCUGCUUGCAAGCUACUGCUCAUGGAUGAGUCCGCGUCCCAUUAGCUAGUUGGUGGGUAACGGCCCACCAAGGCGACGAUGGGUAGCCGGUCUGAGAGGAUGACCGGCCACACUGGGACUGGAACACGGCCCAGACUCCUACGGGAGGCAGCAGUGGGGAAUAUUGCGCAAUGGGCGAAAGCCUGACGCAGCGACGCCGCGUGAGGGAUGAAAGGUCCUCGGAUCGUAAACCUCUGUCAGGAGGGAAGAACCGCCACGGUGCUAAUCAGCCGUGGUCUGACGGUACCUCCAAAGGAAGCACCGGCUAACUCCGUGCCAGCAGCUGC